rnacentral:rRNA from 1 species
AUUGAACGCUGGCGGCAUGCUUUACACAUGCAAGUCGAACGGCAGCGCGGGCUUCGGCCUGGCGGCGAGUGGCGAACGGGUGAGUAAUGCAUCGGAACGUGCCCAGUAGUGGGGGAUAGCCCGGCGAAAGCCGGAUUAAUACCGCAUACGACCUGAGGGUGAAAGCGGGGGACCGAAAGGCCUCGCGCUAUUUGAGCGGCCGAUGUCGGAUUAGCCGUUGGGUGGGGUAAAGGCUUACCAAGGCGACGAUCCGUAGCUGGUCUGAGAGGACGACCAGCCACACUGGGACUGAGACACGGCCCAGACUCCUACGGGAGGCAGCAGUGGGGAAUUUUGGACAAUGGGGGCAACCCUGAUCCAGCCAUGCCGCGUGCUGGAAGAAGGCCUUCGGGUUGUAAACCGCUUUUGUUCGGGAAGAAAUCCUCUGGGCUAAUACCCCGGGGGGAUGACGGUACCGGAAGAAUAAGCACCGGCUAACUACGUG